AGGACGAACGCUGGCGGCGUGCCUAAUACAUGCAAGUAGAACGCUGAAGAGAGGAGCUUGCUCUUCUUGGAUGAGUUGCGAACGGGUGAGUAACGCGUAGGUAACCUGCCUUGUAGCGGGGGAUAACUAUUGGAGACGAUAGCUAAUACCGCAUAACAAUGGAUGACACAUGUCAUUUAUUUGAAAGGGGCAAUUGCUCCACUACAAGAUGGACCUGCGUUGUAUUAGCUAGUAGGUGAGGUAAUGGCUCACCUAGGCGACGAUACAUAGCCGACCUGAGAGGGUGAUCGGCCACACUGGGACUGAGACACGGCCCAGACUCCUACGGGAGGCAGCAGUAGGGAAUCUUCGGCAAUGGACGGAAGUCUGACC
rnacentral:rRNA from 1 species